UACGGAAGGGGCUAGUGUUGUUCGGAAUUACUGGGCGUAAAGAGCGCGUAGGCGGCUUACCAAGUUGGGGGUGAAAUCCCGGAGCUCAACUCCGGAACUGCCUUCAAAACUGGUAGGCUCGAGUCCGGAAGAGGGGCGUGGAAUUCCCAGUGUAGAGGUGAAAUUCGUAGAUAUUGGGAAGAACACCGGUGGCGAAGGCGGCGCCCUGGUCCGGUACUGACGCUGAGUCGCGAAAGCGUGGGGAGCUAACAGG
rnacentral:rRNA from 1 species